GCAUAAUGAUGGCGGCGCUGUCUCCAGCAGAGGCUCAGUGAAAUCGAAAUCGCUGUGAAGAUGCAGUGUACCCGCGGCUAGACGGAAAGACCCCGUGAACCUUUACUGCAGCUUGACACUGAACUUUGACCUUACUUGUGUAGGAUAGGUGGGAGGCUUUGAAGCUGGAACGCUAGUUCCAGUGGAGCCGUCCUUGAAAUACCACCCUGGUAAUGUUGAGGUUCUAACUCUGUCCCGUGAUCCGGGACGAGGACCGUGUCUGGUGGGUAGUUUGACUGGGGCGGUCUCCUCCUAAAGAGUAACGGAGGAGUACGAAGGUGCGCUCAGCGUGGUCGGAAAUCACGCGUAGAGUAUAAAGGCAAAAGCGCGCUUAACUGCGAGACCCACAAGUCGAGCAGGUACGAAAGUAGGUCUUAGUGAUCCGGUGGUUCUGUAUGGAAGGGCCAUCGCUCAACGGAUAAAAGGUACUCUGGGGAUAACAGGCUGAUACCGCCCAAGAGUUCAUAUCGACGGCGGUGUUUGGCACCUCGAUGUCGGCUCAUCUCAUCCUGGGGCUGAAGCAGGUCCCAAGGGUAUGGCUGUUCGCCAUUUAAAGAGGUACGCGAGCUGGGUUUAGAACGUCGUGAGACAGUUCGGUCCCUAUCUACCGUGGGCGCUGGAAAUUUGAGAGGAUCUGCUCCUAGUACGAGAGGACCAGAGUGGACGAACCUCU
rnacentral:rRNA from 1 species